GUGGGGAAUAUUGGACAAUGGGCGAAAGCCUGAUCCAGCAAUGCCGCGUGAGUGAAGAAGGCCUUAGGGUUGUAAAGCUCUUUUACCCGGGAAGAUAAUGACUGUACCGGGAGAAUAAGCUCCGGCUAACUCCGUGCCAGCAGCCGCGGUAAUACGGAGGGAGCUAGCGUUGUUCGGAAUCACUGGGCGUAAAGCGCACGUAGGCGGCUUUGUAAGUUAGAGGUGAAAGCCCGGGGCUCAACUCCGGAACUGCCUUUAAGACUGCAUCGCUUGAAUCUGGGAGAGGUAAGUGGAAUUCCGAGUGUAGAGGUGAAAUUCGUAGAUAUUCGGAAGAACACCAGUGGCGAAGGCGGCUUACUGGACCAGAAUUGACGCUGAGGUGCGAAAGCGUGGGGAGCAAACAGGAUUAGAUACCCCAGUAGUCC
rnacentral:rRNA from 1 species